UGUGGAGCUCUCCACUGUGGGAGUAGGAAGCCAGACAGCAAAAGUCGUUUGGUCGUCGGGAAUUUCAAAUUCUUACCUGGCUACGGUUUAGACAUUUCAACAUUUUAGAAGAAGAUUUAUUUCCCCGAGCAGUGUGAACUAGGAACGCAACAAAAACAGGAGGAUGAGUAGCACACGAUGGAACUUCCGGCUGUUGCAAGUAGUCGCAGUCGUGGCCUGUGUUUUAUGUCUCCUCCCCCUUACAGCGUCAUACGGUGUAGUAAGAAACUCAGAAAUGCCAGACCUUUUAUCCAGUGUCAAGCGAAGAGGAGGGAGAAACGUAA